rnacentral:rRNA from 1 species
AUACGGAGGAUGCAAGCGUUGUCCGGAUUUAUUGGGUUUAAAGGGUGCGUAGGUGGUUUUUUAAGUCAGUGGUGAAAGCCUACAGCUUAACUGUAGAGGUGCCAUUGAUACUGGGGAACUUGAGUAUGGACGAGGUAGGCGGAAUUUGUGGUGUAGCGGUGAAAUGCAUAGAUACCACAAGGAACACCGAUAGCGAAGGCAGCUUACUGGGCCAUAACUGACACUGAGGCACGAAAGCGUGGGGAGCGAACAGGAUUAGAUACCCUAGUAGUCC